AUAGGUGAAAUUAAUUGAUUGAGAUUAAAUUAUAAAAUAAAUAUGAGGCUAAAAAAAUUAAGAGAUAAACUAGGAUUAGAUACCCUAUUAUACUUAAUUUAAAAAUUCAAAACUAAAAUAUUAAUAGUUAUGAUCUUAAAAUUUAGAGAAUUUGGCGGUGUUUUAGUCUGUUUAGAGGAACCUGUUUCGUAAAUGAUAAACCUCAAAGUAUCUUACUUAAGUUUGUAUACCGUCAUUAUUAGAUAAUUUUUAUAGAAAUAAAUUAUUAUAAUAAGUUUUAUUUAGUAUAUUAGAUCAAGGUGCAGCUUAUGAAUAAGUGAAAAUGGGUUACAGUAAAAUUUAUUUAAAACGGAGUGGGUUCCAUGAAGGUGGAUUUAAUUGUAUAUAAGUUUAAUAAGCUUAUAUGAUAUUAGCUCUAAAUUAUGUACAUAUUGCCCGUCGCUUUC
rnacentral:rRNA from 1 species